CAGGGUACUAUGAGCAAGUGCAUGCAGCAUGCAUGUGUACAUAUUUGGGGUAUGUGUCUAGGGUCCCCUGGAACUUUAGAAGGGAGCCACAGAGGCUGUUUCAGGGGACACUGCAGCAAUUUCCAGGAACCAGCAACUGGAACCUUCCCUUCUAUGUCCCUCCACUCUCUCUCUGUUCCCUAGCUCUGAGCUGUGUUGCGGAGCCUGCAUCGGCUUUUACCACUGGGUGAUGACAGCAGUGACGGGAGGCGUGGGUGUGGCCGCAGCCCUGGCUCUCUGCAGCAUCCUCAUCUGGCCCAUUCGCAUUCGCACCCGGGACCCCAGAGACCGGCCCUGACUUCUGGCUCUCCAGGGUGACAUGGUGAAGGACCAAACAGACAUCCUGACCUCCGAUCCCCCAACCCGCUCGGGG
rnacentral:lncRNA from 1 species